rnacentral:rRNA from 1 species
AUUGAACGCUGGCGGCAUGCCUUACACAUACAAGUCGAACGGUAACAGGUCUUCGGAUGCUGACGAGUGGCGAACGGGUGAGUAAUACAUCGGAACGUGCCUAGUAGUGGGGGAUAACUACUCGAAAGAGUGGCUAAUACCGCAUGAGAUCUACGGAUGAAAGCAGGGGAUCGCAAGACCUUGUGCUACUAGAGCGGCCGAUGGCAGAUUAGGUAGUUGGUGGGAUAAAAGCUUACCAAGCCGACGAUCUGUAGCUGGUCUGAGAGGACGAUCAGCGACACUGAGACUGGGACACGGCCCAGACUCCUACGGGAGGCAGCAGUGGGUAAUUUUGGACAAUGGGCGAAAGCCUGAUCCAGCAAUGCCGCAUGCAGGAUGAAGGCCUUCGUGUUGUAAACUGCUUUUGUACGGAACGAAAAGCCCUGGGUUAAUACCCUGGGGUCAUGACGGUACCGUAAGAAUAAGCACCGGCUAACUACGUGCCAGCCGCCGCAGUAACAC